GCGGCGUAGACCUCCCAGUGCCGGCUGCAGGGCCGCGGGUCGGGGCGGGGCCCCGCGAGGAGCAAGGGGCUGGCCGGGCUGGAGGGCUGGGUGAGUCCCCGCCCUGGCAAUCCCAGAAGAGGGCAGGGAGCGCCCCCAACUGACCGCCGGGGGCAUCGUGACGCUGAGGUGGAUGGGAGACUGCACGAUUUGAGCAGGUUGUGUGAAAUCUGGAACUCCAUUACUUGUACCCCAAGGCAUCUUUUUUAUGCGGAUUUAAGCUGGAAAGCGCCACACCAAGCUGUUAACAGGAACUGCUUCCUGGCACUGAGAUUCCAGGGGCUGCUCGUUCCUUUCUCUGGCUCAUCUGUGUAAGGAAGACUUUCCUCCGUGAGCCUUUCCACCAAGCUCAGGCCUGAGGCUUAGGAGAAAUGUGCGAGAUCCCGACAGCCUCGGAGGGAGUGAGGGGGCUUCGAGACCCUCAGGGCCACCUUAGGGGCCUCUACCAGGGAAGGAGAAAUGAUCUUGUUUCACCGGCCAGGGAGUUGAUUUCCAGACUGAAGCGUACCUGCCACGGAACUUUUACCUCCAUGGGGUGACCUUAGAACUUCUGCUCUGCAAACUGGAAGUGACCUUCAUCCUCCAGGAGGGUAUGUCGAAAGCAUUCCCGCUUGGCCACUUUUACAAGUUAUUUCUGCCUGGGAAGGCACCAACUCAAUUAUCCAGUAGAUAAGAUACGGGGCAACAGGGGAACGCCUGCCUUGCAUACUUGCUCACCCCCGACCUUAUAAAAGUGUCCAUGUUACUGCUCCAAAGGUGAAGCAGCACAUGUAAAGGCAGGACGCGUUGUGUCCCUUCCCCAAGCUACCUUUGGAAUACAUUCACUUUUCUUACACCAGACCUCGCGCUUGU
rnacentral:lncRNA from 1 species